CCUUCAGGGGGCAACGUGAGUAUUUCACAGACCUGACACCACGGACGGCCGCUAACUAGAUCAAAACAUGGCGGGUAUAAAAACCCGGACUAUCAUCCGUUGUAAUCCGGACCCACUCAACCGUUUUCAACGUCAGCUCCACGUCACUGACACCGAGAGCGUUUUACUCACAGCCAUCCCAGGGGGUGUGGGAUCUGAGCCAUGCCUCCGGGAGAGACGGGGUAGCAGGCCGCAUGAGGGGUCCUCGACAUACCUGCCCCAUAAACAGCAGUACAGUGUGAGGUUAACCAGGUCUUACCAGGUGUGUAGGAGUAGCAGAGUCUCUGAUAGCUGAUCUUCCAGGGACGUCGAGUAGAGGCCACUGAAACGGCAGGUACUGUGGAGGAGAGAAGGAAGGUUAACCGGCCUACCUUAACACACUCUUAAAAAAAAAAAAAAGCAGCAAACUGUGAUGACCUGGGAAAAUCCAAGGGCGCCGGAUGUUGCAGUUCCUGCCGAGCCACUCGCCACCGUCUUUGAUACCAGACUGAACAGACAGCGGUUUCAAAAUACACAGACACACCUUCGUAGAUGAGCGCGCAUACACCCGCCUUUAACCGGAGAAAAGUAAGUUACCGAUAGGAGCUGGAAGAUACUGUGCCGAGGGUCAAAUGGAAUAAUCGACACCACAGAAACAUGUUACGUUUGGAGAGGGCGUGUUUGCUUUUGUGUCUGUACGGAAGCUCUGGGUCUUGAGUCAGACAAAGGAAAGCGUCCAAAAAGUUUGCCUUCGCCCUCGUCCCAUCCCCCACACGUGUAAAUCCUACCAGCCCCCAAACCACCAGGGUCCCUCUGCUGACCAAGCUGUCUGAAAACAGGGAACCCCUUCCUCUCUCAGACGCAGAAAAGAAGAGGCCUUUGGUGCUCAUUCAACUGCGAGUGACGUCCACAGACCCGCAACUGUGAUCCGAAAAAAAACAAAGCUCUCCUCCUGACUGCCGAGUGCCAGUGUCGGAGUGUUUUCGUUAACUCUCAUCCUUCAGCCUUCUGAUCUUCUCCUACGCAUUGAGGUGAUUCUAAGUCAUAUUAUCAUCAUAAUAAGGAGACGUCAUUACCAGCACACCGUGGAGCAGUUACAACUGGAGGCUUGUUGCAGGGAUUCAGGUGGGUCCCUCUACUCGUGAAGCCCACCGAGGCAAGUGCUCCUCGCCCUGUGAAAACAGCUGCAUCGCGUCUUUUGUUGCUCCGGAGCCGUUUUCUAAAGUCUGAGUAAAUGACUCUGAUGAUUUCAGAGUGAUGUCAUCGGGGUUAUCUCCACUUGGGCUGGGGGACUUUUUUUUUUUUUUUUUUUAACAGAAAGCCCCCAUUGCGAACUGGAGUUUGAACAAUGUGACCGUUUACCAGGCGGGGAGGAUGUAACAGAAGACUGGGUUUGCAUUGUGGGCACUGUAGGAUCCAGUGUUUUUGGAGCUCGACCUGUACUUCUAAAUAAAAAUGAG